CGCCUGUUUAACAAAAACAUGUCUUUUUGAAUUUAAUUUAAAGUCUAACCUGCCCACUGAAAUAUUUUAAAUGGCCGCAGUAUACUAACUGUGCAAAGGUAGCAUAAUCAUUAGUCUUUUAAUUGAAGGCUGGUAUGAAUGGUUGGACGAAAUAUUAACUGUUUCAUAAAUAUUUAUAUUAGAAUUUUAUUUUUUAGUUAAAAAGCUAAAAUUUAUUUAAAAGACGAGAAGACCCUAUAAAUCUUUAUAUUUAAAUUAUUAUAAUUUUGUAGAAUUUUUUUAUUUUAAUAAUUAAUAAUAUUUUAUUGGGGUGAUAUUAAAAUUUAAUAAACUUUUAAUUUUUUUUAUCAUUAAUUAAUGAAUAAUUGAUCCGUUAUUAACGAUUAAAAAUUUAAGUUACUUUAGGGAUAACAGCGUAAUUUUUUUGGAGAGUUCAUAUCGAUAAAAAAGAUUGCGACCUCGAUGUUGGAUUAAGAUAUAAUUUUAGGUGUAGCCGCUUAAAUUUUAAGUCUGUCCGACUGUUAAAUUCUUACGUGAUCUGAGUUCAGACCGG
rnacentral:rRNA from 1 species